GAUGAUCUAAUCAGGGUUGACAGUUUAACCCUGAGUCAUCCUAAACAUAGAGGUCAAAAGGAUGAAUUAUACAGUAACCAUAUUCACGUAGGUUUUGAGUGUUGUGAUUGCGACCAUUCGACCUAUCCAGUCGUCGGGUACCAUUGCUAGAUGGUCACUUUGAUUAGUACAAGAAUUGGUUCCUGUGCUACCGGCUUAGGUUCGAACCUGCGGGGUCACACACAUUAGAGGUUCCUAUC
rnacentral:lncRNA from 1 species